AUACUUACCUGGCAGAGGAGACACCAUGAUCAUGAAGGUGAUUUUCCCAGGGUGAGGCUCAUCCAUUGCACUCUGGAUGUGCUGACCUUUGCAAGUUCCCCAAAUGUGGGAAACCUGACUGCAUUUGUGCUUUC
rnacentral:snRNA from 1 species